rnacentral:rRNA from 1 species
CCCGCUCAGAACUUAAAGGAAGUUGACGGGGCCCGCACAAGCGGUGGAGUAUGUGGUUUAAUUCGAUGCAACGCGAAGAACCUUACCUGGUCUUGACAUCCCGGAGACCCUUAGGAAACUAGGGGUGCUUCCAUCUGGAAGAAUCUGGAGACAGGUGCUGCAUGGCUGUCGUCAGCUCGUGUCGUGAGAUGUUGGGUUAAGUCCCGCAACGAGCGCAACCCUUGCCUUUAGUUGCCAGCAGUUCGGCUGGGCACUCUAAAGGGACUGCCGGUGUUAAACCGGAGGAAGGUGGGGAUGACGUCAAGUCCUCAUGGCCUUUAUGACCAGGGCUACACACGUACUACAAUGGCCGAUACAAAGGGCAGCGACACUGCGAGGUGAAGCCAAUCCCGUAAAAUCGGUCUCAGUCCGGAUUGGAGUCUGCAACUCGACUCCAUGAAGUUGGAAUCGCUAGUAAUCGUGGAUCAGCAUGCCACGGUGAAUACGUUCCCGGGCCUU